rnacentral:rRNA from 1 species
GCAAGAUACCACGGGCGCACGGCGGAUGCCUUGGCACAGGGAGCCGAUGAAGGACGCGGCAAGCUGCGAUAAUCCCCGGCGAGGAGCACACAUCCUUCGACCCGGGGGUCUCCGAAUGGGCGAACCCAUGCACAGCAGUGUGCAUAUCCCCGGCCUGAACGCAUAGGGCCGGGGAGGACAACCCGGGGAACUGAAACAUCUAAGUACCCGGAGGAGAGGAAAUCAAUCUCGAGACUCCCCGAGUAGCGGCGAGCGAAAGGGGACCGAUGGCCAAACCGUCGAGCGGGCGUACCCGGCAGGGGUUCCGCCGGCGGGGUUGCAGGGCCGCGCAUCCGGGGGCUGCCGCCCCCGGGCGCAGGUCCGGCUGGGGAGCGGAACGGCAUGGGAGGGCCGGCCGCAGCGGGUGACAGCCCCGUACGCGAACCCAGACCGGACGGCGCGACGCGGUCCCUGAGUAGGGCCGGGCACGUGAAACCCGGUCCGAACCUGGGUGGACCACCAUCCAAGCCUGAGUACUACCCUGUGACCGAUAGCGCACCAGUACCGUGAGGGAAAGGUGAAAAGCACCCCGGGAGGGGAGUGAAACAGUACCUGAAACCGUGCGCCCACGAGCAGUCGGAGCACCCAUUGGGUGUGACGGCGUGCCUUUUGUAGAAUGAGCCAGCGAGUCGCUGGCGCGGGGCGAGGUUAACCGAAAGGGAGCCGGAGCGAAAGCGAGCCUUAACAGGGCGACUUGAGUCCCGCGCCGCGGACGCGAAGCCGGGUGAGCUAUCCGUGGGCAGGCUGAAGCGGGGGUAAGACCCCGUGGAGGGCCGAACGCACGUCGGUUGAAAACGGCGGCGAUGACCUGCGGAUAGGGGUGAAAGGCCAAUCAAACCCGGAGAUAUCUCGUUCUCCCCGAAAUAGCUUUAGGGCUAGCGUCGCGCGUUCACCGCCGGAGGUAGAGCACCGGAUGGACGAGGGGGCUUCGCCGCCUACCGAAUCCAACCGAACUCCGAAUGCCGGCGGCCCAGAGCGCGGCAGUCAGAGCAUGUGGGCUAAGCUGUGUGCUCGAGAGGGAAACAGCCCGGACCGCCCGCUAAGGUCCCCAAGUUCCAGCCGAGUGGCAAAGGAUGUGCGUCCGCCCAGACAACCAGGAUGUUGGCUUAGAAGCAGCCAUGCAUUCAAAGAGUGCGUAACAGCUCACUGGUCGAGUGGACAUGCGCCGACAAUACACGGGGCUAAGCUGGACACCGAAGCGGCGGGAUUUUAUCUAUAGAAUCGGUAGGGGAGCUUCCCAUGGGCGGAGAAGCCGGAGGGCGACCGACGGUGGAGCGCAUGGGAGUGAGAAUGCUGGCAUGAGUAGCGAGAGACGAGAGAGUAACUCGUCCGCCGUGAACCCGAGGUUUCCUGGGCAAGGCUAAUCCUCCCAGGGUCAGUCGGGGGCUAAGGCGAGGCCGGGAGGCGUAGCCGACGCGCAGCAGGCAGACAUUCCUGCACCGCGCACGCGGCGCUACGACCGACGGGGCGACGGAUGGGGGUGGCUCGGCGGGGUUCUGGACGUCCCCGUGAUGGAGCGCGGCCCGCGGACCAGGGAAAUCCGGUCCGCAUCGAGGGCGAGGCUCCGGACGAAGCACUUAAGCGAAGCGAGUGAGCCCGAGGUCCCUAGAAAAACCCCUAGGCAGGCGCGUGCGCGCCCGUACCGCAAACCGACACAGGUGGGUGGGUAGAACAUACCGAGGCGAUCGGGUCAACCAUGGUCAAGGAACUCGGCACAAUGGCCCCGUAACUUCGGGAGAAGGGGUGCCCGCGCGUACGUGAACGGACUUGCUCCGGGAGCGGAGGCGGGCCGCAGUGGAGAGGCCCAAGCGACUGUUUACCAAAAACACAGGACUCUGCAGAAGCCGCAAGGCGACGUAUAGGGUCUGACGCCUGCCCGGUGCCGGAAGGUCACGCGGAGGAGUUAGCGCACCGCGCGAAGCCCCGAAGCCAAGCCCCGGUAAACGGCGGCCGUAACUAUAACGGUCCUAAGGUAGCGAAAUUCCUUGUCGGGU